GUGAGGAAUUUUCCGCAAUGGGCGAAAGCCUGACGGAGCAAUGCCGCGUGAAGGAUGAAGGCCUAUGGGUUGUAAACUUCUUUUCUCAGAAAAGAAUUAUGACGGUAUCUGAGGAAUAAGCAUCGGCUAACUCUGUGCCAGCAGCCGCGGUAAGACAGAGGAUGCAAGCGUUAUCCGGAAUGAUUGGGCGUAAAGCGUCUGUAGGUUGUUUAAAAAGUAUUCUGUCAAAGAUUAGGGCUUAACCCUAGAUAGGCAGAAUAAACUUUUAAGCUAGAGUUUGAUAGAGGCAGAGGGAAUUCCCGGUGGAGCGGUGAAAUGCGUAGAUAUCUGGAGGAACACCAAAGGCGAAGGCACUCUGCUGGGCCAAUACUAACACUGAGAGACGAAAGCGAGGGGAGCAAAUGGGAUUAGAAACCCGGGUAGUCC
rnacentral:rRNA from 1 species